AUUGAACGCUGGCGGCAUGCUUUACACAUGCAAGUCGAACGGCAGCGCGGGCUUCGGCCUGGCGGCGAGUGGCGAACGGGUGAGUAAUAUAUCGGAACGCACCCAAGAGUGGGGGAUAACGUAGCGAAAGUUACGCUAAUACCGCAUACGAUCUAAGGAUGAAAGCAGGGGAUCGCAAGACCUUGUGCUCCUGGAGCGGCCGAUAUCUGAUUAGCUAGUUGGUGAGGUAAAGGCUCACCAAGGCAACGAUCAGUAGCUGGUCUGAGAGGACGACCAGCCACACUGGAACUGAGACACGGUCCAGACUCCUACGGGAGGCAGCAGUGGGGAAUUUUGGACAAUGGGGGCAACCCUGAUCCAGCAAUGCCGCGUGAGUGAAGAAGGCCUCGGUGUAAG
rnacentral:rRNA from 1 species